rnacentral:rRNA from 1 species
UACAGGGGGUGCAAACGUUGCUCGGAAUCAUUGGGCGUAAAGCGCACGUAGGCGGUUCGUUAUGUCGGAUGUGAAAGCCCUUGGCUUAACCGAGGAAGUGCAUCCGAAACUGGCGAGCUAGAGUACGAAAGAGGAUCGCGGAAUUCCCGGUGUAGAGGUGAAAUUCGUAGAUAUCGGGAGGAACACCGAUGGCGAAGGCGGCGAUCUGGGUCGAUACUGACGCUGAGGUGCGAAAGCGUGGGGAGCAAACAGG